UACGGAGGGGGCUAGCGUUGUUCGGAAUUACUGGGCGUAAAGCGCACGUAGGCGGCUUUGUAAGUUAGAGGUGAAAGCCCGGGGCUCAACUCCGGAAUUGCCUUUAAGACUGCAUCGCUAGAAUUGUGGAGAGGUAAGUGGAAUUCCGAGUGUAGAGGUGAAAUUCGUAGAUAUUCGGAAGAACACCAGUGGCGAAGGAGACUUACUGGACACAUAUUGACGCUGAGGUGCGAAAGCGUGGGGAGCAAACAGG
rnacentral:rRNA from 1 species